UAUAAUUUAAAUUUAUAAGAUAAAUUCAAAUUAGAUAUGAUAUUAUGGAUUAAAUUUAUGAGAUAAAUUUAAUUAAAUCUUUGUGAGCUUUUAACUGGAAGACAAAACCCUUAUAUAUAUAGAUAGGGACGUCCUUAUGAAGGUAGAGAGAGAGAGAGAGUUAGAAAAUUUCUAACGAUAAAAACACUCUGAGAGCCACGAAACACCCUAUAGAAAGGAAAAUUAGAGUUCAAAGAAGAACGGACGCUGAGAACGCUAGCAUGCUGUUCAAGUUAGAGAGCUGUUCGUGUGGAUACCAGUAGGGGGAGCAGAUCUACGUUGUCAACUCUUGAAAUCCAAACAUGCAUCAACUUCAAAGAAUUAAAAAGAGUAAUCUCUACGCCUGGACUAGGACUUUCAGCCACAACGAACAGGGCCCACUAUACCACUGCUCAGACUGGGUCAUUCUCUUUUCGUAUGGAUUGUGGUAUGGGAAGAUUUUGCCUUGAUACAUGAAGAGAUUUAAUACCACGGGUAACCCUUUUAGUAACAAAAGAGUUGAGGUUCUACCGCUGAGACUGAGCAAGGGAAGGAAUCGGGCAAGGGCUCAUAUACUUGCUACAUUAUUAUUGUAAAGCCUAAUUUUAUUUUGAGUUGUGUACAUAAAAUUAUAUGGAUGAUAUUAUAUGUUACUAGCUAGGAAUGCAUAUCAUUUUAAUUGGUUGCACUUAUUUCAUACUAUGUUAUUUUGUAUUUUAGCCUAAUAUUAUAUAUAAUGUGAAUAUGUGGCAAUUUUUAUGAUCAUGGGCUAAAAUACUAAUACAAGUUCAAGGAAUGUUUUAUCUAUAUGAUAACAAUGUAUAUGUAGUGUAUUAUAUGGCAAUAGAGGCCAAAUAGUGUAUAUAGUAUUGAUUUAGUAUU